rnacentral:rRNA from 1 species
UACAGAGACUGCAAGCGUUAUUCGGAUUCACUGGGCGUAAAGGGUGCGCAGGCGGCCGUGUGUGUGAGGCGUGAAAGCCCGAUGCUUAACAUCGGAAUUGCACCUCAAACUACACGGCUAGAGCAUUGGAGAGGGUAGCGGAAUUCCCAGUGUAGCGGUGAAAUGCGUAGAUAUUGGGAGGAACACCAGUGGCGAAGGCGGCUCACUGGACCGGUACUGACGCUGAUGCGCGAAAGCGUGGGGAGCAAACGGG